rnacentral:rRNA from 1 species
UACAGAGGGGGCAAGCGUUGUUCGGAAUUACUGGGCGUAAAGGGCGCGUAGGCGGCCUGUUAAGUCAGACGUGAAAUCCCUCGGCUCAACCGGGGAACUGCGUCUGAUACUGGCGGGCUUGAAUUCGGGAGAGGGAUGUGGAAUUCCAGGUGUAGCGGUGAAAUGCGUAGAUAUCUGGAGGAACACCGGUGGCGAAGGCGGCAUCCUGGACCGGCAUUGACGCUGAGGCGCGAAAGCCAGGGGAGCAAACGGG